GGGAGCCGAUUCAAAUUUCUUCAAAAAACCUCGGCUUAAAUCCCAAACUAAUCCACAAACCUCUCUUCUAGCAAUAUCAAAUCCUCUUAGCUAUGCAAGAGCUAAUUGACCUAGGAAUGGUGUUAUGAACUAAUUUAGAGACUAACCGAAGCAAUAAUGAACCUAAACAAGUGUCAGAAGAAGAGAUUCAAAAACCAACACAAAAGUACGAAAACUCCGCAAAAUUCUCCAGAGAAUCCGCAACUUCCG
rnacentral:lncRNA from 1 species